UAUCAAAAUAAGCGAGCACCUUGCCAGGUUCCGUGGGUACAAAGACGAACAACGCCAUCCCCGUCGUCGAAUGGCAGACAAGUAACCAGUCUUUGUAACGCAGUGAAGAAGAGAGUUCUUCCGAAUGAUCCAGUCUUUCUUGAGCCUCAUGAAGAAAUGACACUCUGCAAAUACUAUGAGAAAAGGUUAUUGGAAUUCUGUUCGGUGUUUAAGCCAGCAAUGCCAAGGGUACGGCUUGUAUGUAUUUCAAACGUUUUUAUCUUAAUAACUCAGUAAUG
rnacentral:lncRNA from 1 species